AGUGAACGCUGGCGGCAGGCCUAACACAUGCAAGUCGAACGGCAGCACAGUAAGAGCUUGCGCUAACGGGUGGCGAGUCGCGGACGGGAGAGGAAAACAUCGGAAUCUACUCUUUCGUGGGGGUUAACGUAGGGAAACUUACGCUAAUACCGCAGACGACCUACGGGGGAAAGCGGUGGAUCGUCGGACCGGGCGCGGAUGAAUGAGCCGAUGUCGGAUUAGCUGGUGGGCUGGGUAAAGGCCCACGAGGGCGACGGUCCGUAGCUGGUCUGAGAGGAUGAUCGGCCACCCUGGAACUUGGCCACGGUCAAUGCUCCUAAGGGACGCAGCAGUGUGGAAUAUUGGACAGUGGGCGCAAGCCUGAUCCAGCCAUCCCGCGUGUGUGAAGACGGCCUUCGGGUUGUAAAGCCCUUCUGUUGGGAAAGAACAGCAUCCGCUUAAUACCCCGCUGUUCUGACGGUACCCGAAGAAUAAGCACCGGCUAACUUCGUG
rnacentral:rRNA from 1 species